UGGACAACAGCUCUUAGACUCCACAUGCUGCUGUCUGAAAGAUUCUGGCAAUUGUAGUCCAAACUGAAGGCAGGUUACUAUAUCUGACUAAAAUUCUUUAAUCCAUUUCUUUGCAGCGAUGUACUAUAGAAGUCCUUCUGCAACACAUGAGGGUCACCUGCUUGGCUGGUGUUCACAGCUGGGGUUGGAUGAUCUUCUGUCCAAAAAUUUAAGUCACUAAUGCCGAAUUUCUGACAGGAUGACAAUGACAGCUGUGAGCUCAAGACAUUGAAACCUACAUCUAAGUAAAUGUGCUCAGGACUGUGGUCUCCCAGGUUUGGCAAGAAAGGAUUCAAAAAAAGAGAAGAAAAGAAAAGAGAAGAGAAGAGAAGAAAAGAACCUGACUCCCCAGAACCCAAACCCAGCACUCAAACACCAAACUACACUGGCUCCUGACAAAUGUAUCCAUUAUCUGAAACCAAGAAGUCUUGCUUCAUAAUUAUUGUUGCACCCAUAUGCCAUUAUACAAAUUUGACUGAGCAAGCUAAUAUUGGACGAUCUGCUGCAAAGUUGUUUUUAGAAGGUAUACACAUUUGCUCUAAGCCAUCUUGCCAUUCCUUACAUCUGAAGUAUACACCUUGUUGUCUGAUUCUUUGAGUGACAAGAAAUCCCAGAUUGUCUCAAAGCAGUCAUGAGAUAAGAAAAAAGGUCUUCUUAUGGAUCAGUAACAGGAAGUAGAAGUAAUAAAUAAAGACACAGGCCGAUAACAUCAUCAGCUGAAAUUCAUCUAGGUCUUCAACAGAUUAUGAAAUCGUUCUGCACUAUGGAGUCAUAGGGAUCCUGCCUGUUUUCUACCAGUCCACAAUGGCUGGUGAGGCUAUCAGCAUAAAACAGUGACUCUCUGGGGCCUUUGAUCAAUGUGGAGGGAGGAAAAGAAUACCAACCUAUGCAAUACCCCCCAAAAGACAUAUCCAGAUGUACAUUGGACUUGCAGGUAAGUGGGUUGGACUGGAUGGCCCUUGUAGUCUCUUCCAACUCCAUGAUUCUUAAGCUGCAUUUUUAGGGAGAAAGCUAGAGUAUGAUCUAAUAAAUAAUAAUCCUUAUUGUUAUUGUUGUGUGCCUUCAAGUAUUGACAGCCUAUGAUGACUCUAUCAUACGAUUUUAUUCAGGGAAAGGUGUGAAUAUACCCUGCAUACUCAACAUUAUAUUUUUGGGUCUCCAAAUUUUUAUAUCUGGGGCCAGGCAUGUUCUUAAGAUGACCUUUGGAACACCAGGUGAAUUUCUGAUGGGAAUGGCAUGGAGACCUGAAGACAUGUGGAAUGACCCAGGUAAUACCACAACAAAUGCUCUUUGCCUAUCCUCUUGCACCAAGAGACAAAGGAGGUCUCAUUGCACUGAAGGCAGUAAGUCAAUGCUUCCUACCUACGCCCUGCUGUGUUUCCAGCCAACAUCCCUAUUUAUCCACCCUGAGAUUGUCCUAAUCCAAUCCACGUUUUUGUAACUCCAAAGCUGAGGGGUCAUCAGGUCUUUGUUGCAAGAUAGCACACUCUUUAAGGCUAGGAUCCCAGAUGUAAGUAUCAGUUCCAAACCUAGCCUCCUUGUGCACAGAGCUGAUCCCCAGCUUGUGAUCCAUGUAUUAACUGUGUCACCCUCAGAUCCCAGUUUGAGCCACAUUCUACUUUCUCCAGCACAGGUAAUUAUCACCCGUUAUCACCACUCAAACUUUGGUAUUCAGUUUCCACACUUUCAUUUUGGUUAUCUCUGAAUGGUGUGUCUGUCUGGAUUACUAUUGUGUAUUUGGUACUAGUUUUGCAUAUUUCUAAAUAAAACCUUCU